GAAAGAAAGAAAGAAAGGGAGGGAAAAGAAGGGAAAGUAAGAGCCAAAAAGACUACAUCUUUAUUAUCUUUGGGGUGGCCCAUCUACCUUAGGUCUAGUUCCUCUUGGCUUUGCACUCAAGGUCUAGCUCAAUGGGCUAGCCUAUGAAUUUACUUUGGUCUAGCUUGCUGGUCUUCAACUCACGAGUAUGGCUCUUUGGGGCUCAGCCCACCAUGCUUUUGGGUCCCGGAUCUACGGCAGUGGGCCUCACUAAUCAGAUACCAUGUUAAAAAUUUAAAAAUUAGAAGAAUAAGAAAGAAAGA
rnacentral:misc_RNA from 1 species